CGUACCCUACGGGGGGCAGCAGUGGGGAAUAUUGCACAAUGGGGGAAACCCUGAUGCAGCGACGCCGCGUGAAGGAAGAAGUAUUUCGGUAUGUAAACUUCUAUCAGCAGGGAAGAAAAUGACGGUACCUGACUAAGAAGCCCCGGCUAACUACGUGCCAGCAGCCGCGGUAAUACGUAGGGGGCAAGCGUUAUCCGGAUUUACUGGGUGUAAAGGGAGCGUAGACGGCGCGGCAAGUCUGAAGUGAAAGGCAGGGGCUUAACCCCUGAACUGCUUUGGAAACUGCCAUGCUAGAGUGCUGGUGG
rnacentral:rRNA from 1 species